rnacentral:rRNA from 1 species
GACGAACGCUGGCGGCGUGCUUAACACAUGCAAGUCGAGCGGUAAGGCCCUUUCGGGGGUACACGAGCGGCGAACGGGUGAGUAACACGUGGGUGACCUGCCCUCAGCUCUGGGAUAAGCCCGGGAAACUGGGUCUAAUACCGGAUAUGACUCCAUGACGCAUGUUGUGGGGUGGAAAGCCUUGUGCGGCUGAGGAUGGGCCCGCGGCCUAUCAGCUUGUUGGUGGGGUGAUGGCCUACCAAGGCGACGACGGGUAGCCGGCCUGAGAGGGCGACCGGCCACACUGGGACUGAGAUACGGCCCAGACUCCUACGGGAGGCAGCAGUGGGGAAUCUUGCGCAAUGGGCGAAAGCCUGACGCAGCGACGCCGCGUGAGGGAUGACGGCCUGGUGU